GACGAACGCUGGCGGCGUGCUUAACACAUGCAAGUCGAACGGAGCGAAUGAAAGCUUGCUUUUAUGAGCUUAGUGGCAAACGGGUGAGUAACACGUAGACAACCUGCCGAUCAGAUGGGGGCAACAUUCCGAAAGGAAUGCUAAUACCGAAUGGCGUGUAGGGGAGGCAUCUUCCCUACAUGAAAGAUGGCCUCAUAUAUAAGCUAUCACUGAUCGAUGGGUCUGCGUCUGAUUAGCUAGUAGGUAAGGUAACGGCUUACCUAGGCGACGAUCAGUAGCCGGUCUGAGAGGAUGAACGGCCACAUUGGGACUGAGACACGGCCCAGACUCCUACGGGAGGCAGCAGUGGGGAAUCUUCCGCAAUGGGCGCAAGCCUGACGGAGCAACGCCGCGUGAGUGAAGAAGGUCUUCGGAUCGUAAAGCUCUGUUGAAGGGGACGAACGAUCGAGGGGCGAACAGGCUCUCGGUA
rnacentral:rRNA from 1 species